CUGGCAAAAUACAUUUUUACUUUGCUCCACAUACACACUAAUUUUCAGAAAACUGCCAAUUAUUGUCAUUUUUGCUUGGAGGCAUUGAAAGAAAUGCACAACAAAGACUUGUAUGUUUAAUACAUUACUCAACACUGCUGUUUUACCUGGUGUUGAUUUGGCACGAUUCAAAUGGGUUACAUUUUCAUUUAGUGGUUUUCAGAGUGCCAAGUCUGGAAGGCUGUUGCGCAACUCUGGGUUUUCAUGCACAGGAAAUCAUGAGACUUGAUCCUUUCGAAAAUCUAAAACAGUGCAGUUACUUUGACACAGUUUAUGCUGAUCAUUAAACUUUCUCUAGAGAGAGCAAAUUCGUCCAAGUAGAAAUUAUCACCAUUUAUCAUUAGAUGUGCUUCAGGAAAUUUGGAAUAGUGCCUUCUGGCUGAGGAGUAAAAUAACAUCAUAUCUGAUUAAUUUCAUCAUGUUCAGGGUCCGGAAAGGGUAAAUGGACCGUGAAAGAGAAUUUUUACUUAGCAAGUCUGAGCUAGCCUUUUCCAGACAGUGUGAAUGAGUGUGUCUCUGUCUCAUAUACAUUCAUUCUUUUGGCACAAGUCAAAGUGAACUUCAACUUUCUUGCUAAUGAGUCUUCUCCUUUGUUUCCUAGUACAAGAAAGUGAAACGGUGCUUUGUAUUCUCAUAUUUUCAAUGUUAGUCACUCUGACAUGCCAUAGAUGUUCCAAUAAUGAAAAGUGACCUUUUACAACUUUCUAACUGCUUUAAAUGAAAAGGAAAAACUUUAGAGGUUGUCCCCCUCCAAACUAUUUACAUUUUGAUUCACACAGAUAUCCACUCAGAACAUGAUGAUUGAUAGAUAUUGUUCAUUUGUAUUUCUCCCAUUAAACUAUUGAUUCGUUCAGUUCAUAGGAAAACUUGUCAUAGCGUGUUGUACAGACUCUCACAAAGCUGAUAGAAAUAUAUGAAUUUAAGACCAGUCUUAAAUCCUUAGAUAUAAUCCUUAACCCUUACUAAACACAUUUUUAUGUGCAUCACAUGCUCUAAGAAAAUUUUGCUUUUUUUUAUUUUUUAUUUUUAUUUUUUUUUUACAAAAGACCGGAACCAGUAAGUGUCACAUUCAUCUUUAUGCUUGUUUGCUUAGAGAGUGACAUUCUCAUUUUUGGCCUCUUUCUCUGUUUUUGUUUUACUUUAGUAUGAUGUGGGUUUUACUCUGUAGAUUUCAGCAUUUUGCUUUGUUGUCAUAGAUGUUUCAGAUGAUCAAAAUUCUUUAACAUCAGACAAAGAUAACUUUAGUGAAUUCAAAAUGUUCUCAAAGGAUGGUUUCAUUUAUGGAGGCAAAAUAGCUUUCCCAGCCUAUAUGGCCUUGUGUAAAAUUUAAUUGAGCCCUCGACCUAAUAACAGUCUGCGCUACCUUUGGUAGCAACAGCUGUUGAGAGAUUGAGUCCAGCUCGGGUUUGACUAUUGAUAUUCAAUUGUAUUAAAGUUAUUUAUAACAGCUAUCUGUCCACAUAGGACCAUAUUGGCAGACUUUAGAAGUCAAGUUUUAUUUGGUUAGAGGAGUGAAAGAUAAAAAGGACGAUGAUUACCUGACCCAAACUCUCACUUUUCAAAAAUCUUUAUGACAAGAAAUAUAAUUCAAAUAAUACUCUACCGUCCACAAUAACUCUGAUCUGUCUUAAUCAGAAUUAGGAGUAUUUUUAAACCCUCCUAAUGGUUGAUAUUUACAACCUAGUUUUUGUCUUUUUUUUUUAUUGUUGUUAAAAACUGUGAAGAUCAGUCUUAUAGGUUUUUAUGAAGUGUUCAGAGUGUGAGGACCAAACACAAGAAAUAAGCCAUCAAAUCAAUAUAUUUGUAAUUUAAUUUUAGGCUAAAUAACAUACAUACCUCCUCUUAAUCAAGCUCUAAUGUGCAACCCCUUUUUUGGAGGUUGCUCCCCUUAAAAAAAAUCUUCUUGGGGCAUCCAGGGUUUUUGCUCUGGCCCUGGUACUUUAUUCAUCCCCUGUUGGGAUGAAUAAAGUACUUCUAUUCUAUUCUAAAAGUCGUGAGGGGAAAGUCAAGAAUAUGGGUCACCUAAAUUUUCAUGCAGUGACAUGCUACUCUAGGGAAAAAUAAUAGAUGUCUUCUUUAGUUUGGUUAAUAAUAAUAGCAAUCAUUGUACGUAAUCCUUAAACCAUGUCAUGAGUGCUGAAUGACUCACCAAUAAACGAACGACGACUUGAAUGCGAAUUUUAAUUAGGUAUUUUAAAAAGAAAAAACUCCCGUGGAAAAACCCGUCAGGAAGUGUUGUCACACGAUAGUCUACAGCAGCAGCAGCAGCAGCAGAGAGAGAGAGAGGUAGACCAGUUCCUUCACACGGAUUUUACGGCAGUUCUGUUCGGCUGCCGAGGAGAAAGCGAGAAUAGAAACAUCUGUUGAUCAUCGGUAACCAAGCAUGGCCAUCAUGGUGGCUGCUGCGGUACUCAAGCUCUACGCCAUUGGAACGGCACUUUCCUUGCUGGCAUUUAUUUAUGGGAUUGCUGACUCCUUCGGGGGACUCAUGUACACUCAGAACCACCACUACAUCCACGAACUGAACCAACAGACACAGAGGCAGAUCCCCUCCGGGCCCCAGGUGCAAAGAACAUCUGUGUCUAGAAACAUUGGCUGACGAGGAACUUUGUGAUGUUGGAUCUUUGCUUCACUUUAAAGAGACUUGGACUGUACAUAUUUUUCUUCCCAGGGGAUGUUUUGUCUGUUUCUUUGUGUACUGUAAAAAAAAAAAUGUUGUGCAGCUAUUUUUCAGAGCAACUACAAAGCUGUAACAGAUGUAGCAGCACUACUGAACAAUUUGCACUAAAACUAGAAUGUUUUUGUAGCUGUUUCUGAAAUAAAAUAAUCUUUUUAAUCGUU